rnacentral:lncRNA from 1 species
UUUUAUAAUAACAAUAAAAAAAAUGUGAUAAACAAAUUUUUUUGGGAAUAAAGCUAAUAUAUCUCUCAAAACUUCUGAAAUAUCUUUUAUAUUCUUAUUUUUUUUAAUUUCAAAUAUACGCCUCGUAAAUUACUCCAUUAUUCAAAAAUAAUCCAGCUAUUAAUACCCAUUCAGUCAUCUUAGGUUAAAUCCGGGUUAAAUUUCUAUCCAAGUUAAAAAAAAGUAAAAAUAUCUCUUUUGCUCCUAACUUAAGUGCAAACAAAAAAGUUAGUGAUUAUAGAAGGAUAUAUUAGAAGGAAUAAAAUAGUUAUUUUACAAAAAUAAUAAUUGUUCUUCACUAACAGAAAAGUGUAAAGGAUAUAUUUGAAAUAACUUGAAACAUUAAAAGAAUAUUUUAAUAUUAAUCUUCUAAAAAAGAUAAAUAAGAAUGUGUUAAUUUUACUUAUACCCUUCAAAAGGUUGAAUAUCGUAAAUGUCCUUACAAAAUCAGUAAUAUCAUGAUUAUCGAUCUAAAUAUAUACAUACUUUCAAUUUCAAAUUUACCCUUACUUGCAAAUUUCGUUAAAUAUUGUGAUUUUUUCAUUGGAUUAAAAAUUAAAUUAUCGGUUUUGCCUGUAACGCUAUUUGAUGUUGAAGGUCAGAAUGAUAAAAUAUAUAAUCAACCCCCUCAACUAUAGACCAUUUUGAAGAAGGUACCUAAUUUUUUAAUUGAAGAGU